UCCCAUCAAAAUUAACCUAUGCAGAUCAUUAUGAUUAAUUAGAACAUGAGUGGGUAAAACGAAGUGAUCAAGGGCACAACUUGCCUGGCACUUGACAUUCCAGGUACCAGGAUGAUCUUCAGGUAGCUCGUAACCUCGCGCUAGUCGUAGCAAUACAAACAAGCAUGGUAUAGGCAAAAUUAACAUCACACCAAACAUAAGAACAAACUAUAUAAGAAUAUUCUACGCAUCGCUACAAGAUCGUGGGAACGAGAAUCACUAAAUUCGGAGUUACGGUUAUGGAGUUAUGAAUUUCCGAAGUUUGUAUGUGCUAGCCACAAAAUUAAUUGAGUAAUAAAUUCUAGUAUGGGUUUCAUGUUAAAACAGUGUUACCAAGUAGUAGAAAAUAUUAAUACAAAAUUAUAGGAACUGGAAUAGAUCAAUUUAGAGUUAAAAUAAAUUAAAUAUGAAUUAAACAAUUCUUUGGAUUUAUUUUUAUACCAAUAAUCAUUUCCUCCAUUUAUUUUAUACAUUUACAGACCGCGGCUCUAAUUUAUAAAAAGUUCACGGGCCAUAGCGUAUGAAUCUGGACCUAACCGUGAUGGUUUUAUAACUGAGAUGGAGUCCGGGUUUAUUCUUAAGAAACUCGGGGACUCACACGUGAAAUCCCCCAGACACAGAGAACUCCGCACAGGAUGGCGGGUUGAUUCCCCAUAACCCAAGGGGCUCUUAAGCAAAAAGCCAACGACGAAGAGGUAAGGAACAACCAGAGCCGUUGGAUUAAAAGGAUAUGGUCCAGAUUAGAUUGUUUUAUAAAUCUAACCGGUACGCAUCCCCAGUCGUGGGAUUAGAGAUAUACGCUUAGGAUUUCAAUACCUGACACAGUUCAUUUUUAUUCGUCGAGAUUCGAUCCAACGGCGCACAUCUCAUCACGCGAGCAGGCACGCCAGAUUGAAUCCCAACCACUAAUCCCAGGACGGACGGUGCAGGGGCUUCUUCUUCAUCCGCCCAGACGCAAGAGAUGAGAGCGCCCAGGGCGGCGGUGCCAUUGCUGGUGUAAACCUUCCCAUUGAUCCGGCGUGCUAAACUUCAAGGAAAAACGUUCUACCCCACACGGAUACCCUAGCGAGUCACUUCGAGCCAUCGCACUGGGGAUUGGGAUGAUAUCCCAGCCAGUCGUCGACAAGAAGGAGCUCCCCGCUCAUAUCCCGUCGGCCAACAGACCACGGCCGAUACCCUGCCCAAAAUCCAUAACCGACCAACACUAUACGAUGCUGGGACCCAGGCGAACAAGGUUACAGCGCCAUACCAGAAUUCAAAGCGUGAGAUCUAGCCAUGGCGGCGUGCUGCACAGCGGCGUUCCCCCGGUCGCUCCACCCUUUGCCCACACCGAUGGUGCUCUGUUCAUCAGGACAGCCUCGGUGCCUUGCGUAUAUGGCCGAGGGGAAGCACAGAGAUGCCAGUAUAAAUACCCAAGAAACGCACGCAACAACCGAGAGAGGAGAUUGAGUUUGUUGUGAUUUCCUCCGAAUUUUGCUGCGGUGUUCAUGCGCGGCACAGAGGACGAGCCUAACCCCACGGCAGGAGUCCGUCAAGAGCAAAACAGGUAGCGUGAAUCCGGGCGGGGUACAUGGUAACAACCUAUGGCUGUUGCAACGGACACAACUAGAAACUGGGAAAGGAUACAUGCAAGAUGCAUGUCGAUCCUGAGCAGGGGCCACAUAGCGAAUGAUUAUGUGUUGAAGCCGAUCGAUUGUCCCACACGCCAGGCUCCCACAUGUGGUUCAAUAUUUGGCCGAUUGAAAACAUGGAGAUAUCAUCUUUGUAUACUAUACGGUUUUGACAAAAAUACAUAUACACGUGAAGGGGACAUGAAUAGACAUGGGCUGUCGGUUAUGACAGUGGUGAGGCUUCAUUUUUUUAAAUCUCAGUUUUAAACUUCCAAUUAAUUUUGGAUCUAAGUUUUAUUUUUAAAUUCAUACCGGAGGCAAGGAUCGAAAGUCCCAAAUGAUGCUUGGUUUUAUUUCUUCCAUUCUAUUUCUAUUAACUCAUGUUUCUUCCACGUUUCACAUGAUUCAAAUUCUAGUUUUUCUUUUUCUUGAAUUUAAUUUAAUUCCAGCAAAAAAAACAUGAAUUCCAGUUCUCUUUUAAUUUAUUAAUUUUUUUAAGCAUAUAAUACUUAUAAAUAUGAAUUCAAAUAAACAUGGAAAUAACAUAAUUUCAUAAUUUAAAGAGAAGUCUUUAUAAAUUUUGGGUACUACAAAUCCUACCCCUUAAAAAUAAUCUCGUCCUCGAGAUUAGUUAGAAAGAGGUUGCAACAAGUUUGGUUUGUAGUCCAUGUUUCAGUUUACAGGGGUUUUAAUACCAAAAGUUUUUUUUUGAGUGACUAGUAGAUGACUAGGAUAGCAUGGGUACCUUAUAAUUAUGUUCUAGCUAUUGGUAAGAAAGUUGGGGUAAGAAAGAUCAAGACAAGCAUAAGAAAUAAGGAUUUUGGCAAGGGAAGGCUCCAUCAUGGAUAGUGGAUCUUGAUUCCUUUGUAGGGAUGGCUGGACUCUUAUCAUUCCCCAACGAGCUUGAUCUCCUUCUUCCCGAGUCUUGGUGUCUUCAUCCGGAUUAGGGAUAAGAGGUUAAGUUAGAUUUGUAGGCAACACCUAGUAGGUACUGUAGCUGGUUUAUUAGGUAGCUAUAAGUUGAAUGAGAUUAGUUAGAAUCUAGUUUGGUUGUUUUGCUUCUGAAUGGUUUGGAUAGGUUAUGUAACCUAUCAUGUAGGUCAAGUUGUUGGGUAUGGCCGAGUUGAUUUAAGUCACCAAUUUAGGCAUAACUAAAUUAGGAGUAUGGCCUUAUCCUUUGUACCAGCAUUGAGUAACUCACACUAGAUUAGAUCAUAUUAGGUUAGAUAGGAUCUAGAGUGGAUCAGGUCUGACUAGAUUAGACUAGUUUUAGGUUAGAUAGAUCCACCAGGGUAGGCUAAAUAUUAUUAGGAUAUGUUAAGAUCUUUUAAGAUAGGAUGGAUCAUAAGGUGUAGGUAAGUCAGAAUCUCUGUUAGGUUAACAUAGAGGGGUUAUGCAACCAUCGAAUGGUUAAGGUAGUUGCAUAAGGCCGAGUAGGUCUGUCGUUCUUAAUUUAGUGCAAAGUGAAUUAAGUUAAACAUAUUUUAUAGGAGUAGAGUCUCAUUUAUUUUACCACUAUUAACUAGUUAAGUGACUGAUCUUAGGCUAGCUCAACUUAUGGUUAGACUUCGUUAGGUUAGAUUAACCUAUUAGAUUGGACCGGAUCUAGAAUAAAUUGAUAUGACUAUUUUAGACUAGAUAAGAUCUAAAUAAAUUUUGGAUUAGAUCAUGGUUGUUAUUCUAGAGUGGGAUAAAUAUGCUAAUUAGGAUAAGAUGAAUCCAUAAGGAUAAGGUAGAAUCUUUUGAGGUCAGUUAGAUCUGUUAGGAUAGGAUAGAAUCUUUUCGAUAUAAGAUUAGAUCUAUUAAGAUAAGAGAGAACCUUUUAAGAUAAGGUGGAUCUUAUGAAGCUAGAUAUACCUUAAUGGGGAUAAUCUAGUUUGUCUAGUUAUUUUUAUGAGUAUUUUUUUCCUAUAUGUAUAUGCAGAUGUAAUUAUGGACAUUACUCCACAACUCAUCACAAUCAAUCAAAGAUCCAAAUCAGACAAAUAUCAUAAGAACAAACAUUCAAGCAUAUCAAUAUUUACUUAAAUAGUUUUGAUUUUUUUCCUACGAGUAGGUCUCCUAUUCCUAAAGGUCACUUUAUGUACAUGAUUUCAAAGUGUGAAAUCCAAGUUUGUCUUUAGAAGGAAAAAGGUAAGAGUAAUCAGAGUAAAGCGGAAAUAGAUGAGAAAAGAUUAAGAUAAGUUUAAAAAGAAUCAGAGUAGCAGAGGUAAGUAGAUAAUGGUUGUCCAGUUCUAUCUAGGUUUCGUCCUACAGUCAACAUUGCUCUGAUACCACUUCUGUCACACCCGGGUUUCGGGGCAUCAAGACCCGGACGCGAACAUAAUCACCAGGUGUGCUGGGACCAAGUCUCACACAUAUGAUGAUUCAUGGCACAUGAUCGAAUGUCACAUCUUUACUACAUAACAGGAGUUCUAUACAAAAUAAAUAGAUAAUUACAUUAUAAGGAGACAACGGUCCAGCAACCCAAAGUUGACUGGGAGACGACGGCCUAGACCUCUCACGAACACAUCGCAGCAUCCUCCAUGUGCCUCAUCCUGUGGUACCUGUUCUUAACCUGUGGGGGGGUGUGAGACAGCAAGAGUGAGCUCACAUACGUUCAUCGCUCAACAAGUUGUGGGGAAUAAUGUGCAUGAACUCGCCAAAGGUGGGAGCUCACGUGAAGUGUAAGGCUUACCAAAGAGGAUGGUUGAAGCUGAGCAUUGCUUUUAAAGUUGGUCAAAAUUUUAUUAGCAAUUACUAAGUAUAAGUAAAUACCAACCCAAUUAAAUAGUAGAACAAAAGUAACAACAACAUCACCCGCGAUGCAAUGCAUAUGACAAAUUGAAUUUAGUUCCAUAAAUUAAUCAUCAGAGAGUCCUGAGAUGCUCAUGACCGUGAGCUCGGCUAGUAUACCAGUUUUACACUCUGCAGAGGUGGUACCCUUUAUCCACAAGUCAUGUUACCCGUCUGCCAAGGGAUCGCUGCCAAGGGAUCGCGACUUCCCAUACACCUCUACCGAGGAGGCGAGGCAGGGUAACACUACGAGGCCUUUACAAAGUUCCACUAGCUUCAGAAAACCCGCUACAGUUUAUAGGAAGCUCCAAUGCAGGGUUCUUGCCUGACCGCCAUCGCAGCAAAAUCAACCAAGGACCUCCCUACACUGACCACUCCCCUACUGCCCUUGCCCCUUUCGGGUAAGGUAGUCCUCCACUAGCUUUCCUAAUUAAUCAGCCAAGGGCGUCCAUAAACCCUUGUGGUGGCACGUGUUUCUCAAGUUAAGCUCUAUGUUCCAAUUAACAUUAAUGAUCUUGACAUGAACAGUAAAUAACCACGGAUAACAAAAGUAUAAUCAUGAAUAAUGUGUAUCUCAAUGCCCAAAACCACAUAUAGCACUAGCAAGUACUACCCAAAAAGUUCAGUGGUAAACAAGGCAUAAAGAUAGACAAACUAGGGUAACCUAUUAGGUCCCAUCAAAAUUAACCUAUGCAGAUCAUUAUGAUUAAUUAGAACAUGAGUGGGUAAAACGAAGUGAUCAAGGGCACAACUUGCCUGGCACUUGACAUUCCAGGUACCAGGAUGAUCUUCAGGUAGCUCGUAACCUCGCGCUAGUCGUAGCAAUACAAACAAGCAUGGUAUAGGCAAAAUUAACAUCACACCAAACAUAAGAACAAACUAUAUAAGAAUAUUCUACGCAUCGCUACAAGAUCGUGGGAACGAGAAUCACUAAAUUCGGAGUUACGGUUAUGGAGUUAUGAAUUUCCGAAGUUUGUAUGUGCUAGCCACAAAAUUAAUUGAGUAAUAAAUUCUAGUAUGGGUUUCAUGUUAAAACAGUGUUACCAAGUAGUAGAAAAUAUUAAUACAAAAUUAUAGGAACUGGAAUAGAUCAAUUUAGAGUUAAAAUAAAUUAAAUAUGAAUUAAACAAUUCUUUGGAUUUAUUUUUAUACCAAUAAUCAUUUCCUCCAUUUAUUUUAUACAUUUACAGACCGCGGCUCUAAUUUAUAAAAAGUUCACGGGCCAUAGCGUAUGAAUCUGGACCUAACCGUGAUGGUUUUAUAACUGAGAUGGAGUCCGGGUUUAUUCUUAAGAAACUCGGGGACUCACACGUGAAAUCCCCCAGACACAGAGAACUCCGCACAGGAUGGCGGGUUGAUUCCCCAUAACCCAAGGGGCUCUUAAGCAAAAAGCCAACGACGAAGAGGUAAGGAACAACCAGAGCCGUUGGAUUAAAAGGAUAUGGUCCAGAUUAGAUUGUUUUAUAAAUCUAACCGGUACGCAUCCCCAGUCGUGGGAUUAGAGAUAUACGCUUAGGAUUUCAAUACCUGACACAGUUCAUUUUUAUUCGUCGAGAUUCGAUCCAACGGCGCACAUCUCAUCACGCGAGCAGGCACGCCAGAUUGAAUCCCAACCACUAAUCCCAGGACGGACGGUGCAGGGGCUUCUUCUUCAUCCGCCCAGACGCAAGAGAUGAGAGCGCCCAGGGCGGCGGUGCCAUUGCUGGUGUAAACCUUCCCAUUGAUCCGGCGUGCUAAACUUCAAGGAAAAACGUUCUACCCCACACGGAUACCCUAGCGAGUCACUUCGAGCCAUCACACUGGGGAUUGGGAUGAUAUCCCAGCCAGUCGUCGACAAGAAGGAGCUCCCCGCUCAUAUCCCGUCGGCCAACAGACCACGGCCGAUACCCUGCCCAAAAUCCAUAACCGACCAACACUAUACGAUGCUGGGACCCAGGCGAACAAGGUUACAGCGCCAUACCAGAAUUCAAAGCGUGAGAUCUAGCCAUGGCGGCGUGCUGCACAGCGGCGUUCCCCCGGUCGCUCCACCCUUUGCCCACACCGAUGGUGCUCUGUUCAUCAGGACAGCCUCGGUG
rnacentral:lncRNA from 1 species